rnacentral:rRNA from 1 species
AUAUUGGAAUCUAGUGAUUUAUUUACUAACUUCCAGCUUCUAACCUCUAAUAUCUAAUCGUUAGUGGCGGACGGUGAGUAACACGUUGGAACCUGCCCAAGUAGGAUAGCCACGAAGGUGGUCUAAUACCUUAUAGUAUCCAUCUCGUAUGGAUUAAAGCUUUAUGCGCUUUGGGAGGGGCCUGCGUUUGAUUAGCUAGUUGGUGAGGUAAAAGCUCACCAAGGCGACGAUCAAUAGCUGGUUUGAGAGGAUGACCAGCCACACUGGGACUGAGAUACGGCCCAGACUCCUACGGGAGGCAGCAGUAAGGAAUCUUCCACAAUGGGGCAACCCUGAUGGAGCAAUACCGCGUGCAGGAUGAAGCGUUUCGGCGUGUAAACUGCUUUUAUCACCGAAGAUUAUGACUGUAGGUGAAGAAUAAGGACCGGCUAACUACGUG